rnacentral:misc_RNA from 1 species
UCCGGGUUGGUCCCGGCGGUCCGGCCAGACGGCGUAACUGGCCGCGGGGGUUGCGCUCGUUGCGGGACUUAACCCAACACCUCACGGCACGAGCUGACGACAGCCGUGCAGCACCUCCACGGCAGCCCCGAAGGGAAGCUCCAUCUCUGGAGCGGUCCACCGCAGUUCAAACCCAGGUAGGGUUCUUCGCGUUGCGUCGAAUUGAACCACAUGCUCCACCGCUUGUGCGGGCCCCCGUCAAUUCCUUUGAGUUUCAGCCUUGCGGCCGUACUCCCCAGGCGGGGUACUUAUUGCGUUAGCGACGGCACCGAAGGGGUCGCUCCCCCCGGCGCCUAGUACCCAUCGUUUACGGCGUGGACUAC